GAUCUGGCUCAGGAUGAACGCUAGCUACAGGCUUAACACAUGCAAGUCGAGGGGCAGCAUUGGAGUAGCAAUACUCAGAUGGCGACCGGCGCACGGGUGAGUAACACGUAUCCAACCUGCCGCUUACUCGGGGAUAGCCUUUCGAAAGAAAGAUUAAUACCCGAUGGUAUAAAGAGUUCGCAUGUUCUCUUUAUUAAAGAAUUUCGGUAAGCGAUGGGGAUGCGUUCCAUUAGAUAGUUGGCGGGGUAACGGCCCACCAAGUCUACGAUGGAUAGGGGUUCUGAGAGGAAGGUCCCCCACAUUGGAACUGAGACACGGUCCAAACUCCUACGGGAGGCAGCAGUGAGGAAUAUUGGUCAAUGGACGAGAGUCUGAACCAGCCAAAAGUAGCGUGAAGGAUGACUGCCCUAUGGGUUGUAAACUUCUUUUAUAAGGGAAUAAAGUGAGGGACGUGUCCCUUUUUGUAUGUACCUUAUGAAUAAGGAUCGGCUAACUCCGUGCCAGCCGCCGC
rnacentral:rRNA from 1 species